AAAGUAUUCAAAUAAAAUUUUAUAAAUAUUUGCUUUUAAGCACACGCCGUUUAGAAGCAUAAGAAGCGUGCAAAUGAAAAUUCGGAAUCAGAAAUGAACAGUGCCUUGAUAUAUCACCUUGACCCUUCGUGGGAAAAAAAAACAACUCCCUUUGCUUCUGAAUAAAUUAUACGACACUAUUUAUUUUCAUACUUUGACCACUUGUCUCUCGUGUAACAUAUUUGCAAAUACUUAGUAAAAUGUCAUGAUGUUGAAGUGUUUAGUGUCCAUAAAUAUAAGCAAAAUUUAAUUAUUUAAGAGUAGCUAGUGGUCAAAGGCGAAGAAACUGAAACAUAUUGUCAGUUAGUCGAAAACAGUAUCCUUAUUGUGAAAUUCGCAGUAUAUAUCUCACGCAAUACUAUUUAAACAUUAAACUCAGAAACUACAGUAAGCCCAAAUCUGUGGUUUAAGUAAUCUUACACCCAAAAGCAAAACCUCAUAUCUUCCCGAUUGAAAAACACAAACUUCUCUAUUCAGAAGAAACCAUGAUUUUUCCAUUAGGUUUCACCGCUCGAGGAACAUUUCCCUUUCCUUUACCAAUAACCCAGAUCGUUUUUAAAUACUUCAGCACUAAGCACUAAACACACAUACUAGGUCCCAUGAUAGCAGCUCGAGAAGACGAGAAUCACUAUAUUUUUAUGGCAAAAGAAUCACUAUAUUAACCGUACUGAAAUCGUGAAAGCAACUUGGGCUAGUAGGAAAUAAUCUAAGCAACGGAAAAACGUGGGCCUAAUUAACCCAUAAGUCCAGCAAAUGGCGUACAAAAACCCUUCAGUCCCAUCAGCCCUUCUGCUGCUCAUCAUCUUCCACUUCUAAGAUUUCAAACAAAGAAAUCUCCAUCCGGGCCGGGGGACCAGCUGAGGAGGAGAGCCAUCCCCAUCCAUCCAUCAAUCUGCUCGCGCGGAUCCGGAAUUUGCGAGAGGAGGCAUGGUGAGUUUGCAGGGGGCGCGAGGGGGCGGCGGCGGCGGCGGCGGCUACGGGUGGAGGUGGGGGGAGAAGGCUGGCCUGGUCGUAUCCCUCCUAGACGACGCGCUCUUCCACGUCCUCUACGCCGCCGAGGCCGUCGUCCUCUCCGCCGCGCUCUGCAGCUUCUUCCUCUGCUGCGGCUGCAACAUCUGACGAGACCUGAUGGGUACCUGAUCUGCGUGCUCUUCUGCUUCGAUGCGGCGGCGGCCGGCGUCCUAGUCCGACCUGAAGCCUGGUGAAAGGGCGGCGCCUGUAUCAUCAUCUCCUCGCACAACUUCGCAUCGCAUGUAACCUUCUCGGCGUUGGCCGUCGCGUGGCCUGUUCAGUUCUGUUUGGCUUCUUGUUCUUUUGUGAGCCAAGCACGUUGCACCUGACCGGAGUGCUUGUUGCUGUUGCCUCUUUUCUUUUGCUCCUGGAGAAAAAUUUUUGUAUCGCGCUGUUCCCGUUCUGAAUUUUUGAUGUACUAGCAAUUAUAAGUUCUAAAUUUUCAAAUUCUGCAAGUGAUCUCAUAAUUUCCUGAAUUUUGUGCGAUUCUGCCGUGAGUUUCAGUGUAGCAUUCUAAUCGUAUUCCGUUGUGCAAUUGAUGUACUUGCAAAUUCCUGGUGUGCCUGACUAUGGUUAGAACUAAGAAAUCAUCUUCCCUCGUUUGUAUCGAAAGGAAAGAAACUAGGCUAUUUCAUGUGAUCUUUGCGCUAGAAUGCUUGUGACUUUUGAAUUUCGAUUAGAUAAUUCCCAGUAGGGUACAGUACUUAAGUAUGACUCGUUUCUUGCAGCAUUCGCUGGUGCACUCCUCGUCCGUUUUUUUCAUUUAUGGCCGGCGCAAUCCGCGCAAAGGCGAGAGCACGUAGCGCCCAGCUGAGCACAUGAUGUAUGCUGGCACUGGCACGUUGCUGCUGCUGCCAUCCAGAAGUAAAUGAAAGCAUGGAACGCCAAGGUCCAGCACAUGGACAUGGACAUGGACAUGGACAUGGAUAUGCCUGGCGCUGUGCACGAGGCAGAGGAGAAGAAGCGUGGAGGAGCGCGGGAGUGACGUGGUGUAUGUUGACCACGACUCCUCCAGAGAGAUGCCUAGGUGUCGCUGGAUGAGUGAGUGCUGAGUACGUUUUAGUUUAUGAUAUUUUUUUAUUUUGACCCAGUUUACAGAUAAAUACAGUAAUAUUUAUAUUUUUAAAUAAAUUUUAUUAAAUUAAUAGUUAGAUAUAUUUUUAUAAUAAAUUUAUCUUGGAUCGAAAAUAUUACUAUUUUUCUAUAAACAUUGUCAAACUUAAGAUCAAAACAUCUUAUACCUGAGAGAGAGGGAGUAGUAUUUUUUUAUUUUCUUUUUACUCCCUCCAUGUUAGACAUAAUUUAGUUUGUCAAAUAUUUAUUAUACUAAAUUAUGUUUAAUCUAGACCUAGAUUACUUAUUAUAUUUUGAGAUAGAGGGAGUAGCAUUUAGGGACUUUUUUUAAUAGGACCAAUGUUAAGUGAUCUCAACUUGAAAAUUGAUUUGCAUUCCAUAGAAUUCCUUCAUUGAAAAAUAUAAAUAUAUACGGGAUUCCAAUUAUAUACUAAAAUAUAAAUCUUUUUUUACUCCCUCCGUCCCAUUAUAAGUGCGGCCAUGAGUUUCCGUGCUCAACUUUGACUGUCCGUCUUAUUUAAAAAAAUUUAGAUUAGUAUUUUUAUCAUUAUUAGAUGACAAAACAUGAAUAGUAAUUUAUGCGUGACUUAUGUUUUUAAUUUUUUUAAAAAAAUUUUAAAUAAGAUAGACGAUCAAAGUUGGGCACAGAAAAUCAUGGCUGUACUUAAAAUGGGACGGAUGGAGUACCUACUUCCCUAUCUCAAUGUAUCAAUCGCAACUAUUUCUCAUCUUAACAGUAAUUUUCGAUAAAACAUAUAAAAAUAACUAUAUUUUGAAAUAGUGUUAGGUAAUUUUUGCAACACAAAAUACGUAUAUUUUUAGAUGGGUGAAAUAGGUUAAUUUUGCAAUACAACUAAUAGCUCCACGCAAUCUUGCGAGAGGCAACAUAAAUUACCAAAAACUAUCGAAACUAUCGGGAGUACGUGAGAAUACUUUGGGUUAUUUGGUUAGGGGUUGAAGUUUGCCAAGCCUUAGAUGUGGUGUGAUUUCUUAGGCUAGUUGCAUGACAAAGAUUAGACAAAAUCACUUUAUUAGCACAUGAGCCCAUACGUCAUAGCUAAAGAUUGCCAUGGUUGUGGAUAACAAAUUAUUUGGCACAUUUUUAUGUGACUUGUCAUACCUAUGGCAAAUGAAGUUAUAGCAAAGUUAGCCUCUAUCCCAACGUAGGCCCUUUAUUUGCCUUACUAUUGGUAAUUUAUCCAAACUAACCAUAUUAACUCCUCUUGGUGUUUUCAAGAAAAAGUACAUUGUUUUUACAUUUAAUAAAUAAGGGUGAUUAAUAAAUAAAAUAAACAAUGAUCAAAGCCAAUGCAUUUAUAAUGUUUCCAUGCUUUCCAUUUAAAUUGCAUAGUGAUACAUUCAAUAAAUAAACAGGUUUCAUAAAUUUGUUAGGUUGUUUUGGAAUUUGUUUUUUUCAAAAACAUGUUAAACAAACUAAAAAAAUACAUAUUUUCUACUUUUUAUUUCAUUUAGUAAUCUUGGAUUCUUUGAAGGAAUUUUAGGAGUAUUUAGGAAUUGUGAAUAACAAAUUAUUUAGUAAUCUUGGAUAUCUCCUUCCUCACUGAUUUGGAGCCCAAGCUCCAAAUCUUUGCUUCUGUUUUUCUUUAAUCCAAUAAUAUUACUACUCCAAUCGUUUCGUUUGUGAUAUAUUGACAAUGUAGACAUGUUACACGAAAAGGGGAUGAUGAAUUAUAUAGAUCAAUUCGAUCCAUGCCAUUGUAAAUAUAUCAUUUCAGAUAAAAUGCCAUUACAAUUUAUUUAUUUGUCGUCGUGCCAUUAAAAUUUUAUAAAAUUGGAACUGUCCCACUGUAGUUACAUCCAUCUUCCUCAUCUACACGUAAGACCAAUCCGUCAAAUUCAUCUUAUUCGUCCAUCCUCCCCUCUUCUUUUUCUCCCAUCUCUCUCCACUAUCUCUCAACCUCCCGACUAAUCCAUCUCGUCAUCUCCUCCCUCCUCAAUCGAGGCAGCGAGUAUGGAGGUCGGCGUGAGGUCAGAUGUGACGGGUUUUAUAAAUGGUGGGCCCAGUUGUCAGUAUCACAAACUUACAAAAUAAGUACUCCCUCCGUCCCAUAAUGUAAUUACCUAGGAUGGGUCAAUGUAUCUAAACAUGAGGCAUGUCUAUAUACAUUAUCCUAGGAUGAGUCUCAUCUCAUCCUUGUUGCUACAUAUUAGGAUGGAGGUAGUAUUAAACACUUUUUAUUAGUAGUCAUGGCCCAUAUGUCAUAGGGACAACUGAUUACUACCUCCGUCCCAAAAUAAUUGUAAUUCUAUGUUGUUUAUCAUAUAUUAAGGUUUGAGAAGAAAGACUAUGGUGCCCCUCAUUAAAUGGUGUUUAUGUGAGAGUGGGAAGAUGGUUAAGGGUAUAAUAGGGAGAAAUUUGAAUGAUAGAUGAUUGAUGGGGCAAUUAGUACUCUAAAAUUACAAUUAUUUUGGGACAAAGUUUGAAUCAUAGAAAUACAAUUAUUUUGGGACGGAGGUAGUAUUAGUUAACUUAACUACUUAUGUCCCAAAAAUAUAAGAACCUAUGAUUGGAUGAGACAUUUCCUAGUACAACAAAUCUAGACAGGCUAGAAAAUGUCCCAUUCGAUCAUAGAUUCUUAUAUUUUGGGAUGGAGAGUAUUCCAUUAGACUUAAUCAGAUUUUUCUCUUCUCUCGCGUGAGCACGGGGAGGCGCCAACCGGAGGGGGGGCGGCCGGCGAUGGGAUGCCCAGGGGAACCACGGCCACCGCUUGGGUGACGCCACGGUAGCUAGGGACAGGUGUGGAGGCGGUGGAGGUUGGGUGCGGCGGCGACGGUCUCCGGGAACUAGGCACACCGGCGAAGCCGAGGCCGACGACGGGGUCUAGGAGCGCCGGUGGGGCUCGCCGAAGUACACACGAAGGCGACCGGUGGCUGGGAUGGGUGGUGGAGGUGGGGCACGGGACGACAUGGGGAUGAUCUAGAGGAACAAAUUCAUCGUGGUUGAGGCGCAAAUGGCCGGGACGUUGCUCCGAGGAGCAUCACCGCCGCAAGAGAGAUGAUUGCCUUGCUUGGCAUGGUUGGGGAGGGCUGCUAGUGGUGCGGUCGGCGGCGGCCUCCGCACGGGCGCCGUGGGGCAGCAGAGCAGCUCGCGCGGCUCGGCGCGGAGCCGAGUAGGAGAAAAUUGGCAUAAUACCAUAUUACCAUCGUCAAAACUCAGGAUGGGAAUGGUUAAGGUGUAGGAUCAAGAAGGCCGACUAGAGGGGGGUGAAUAGGCGGUUUUUCAAACUUUUGGCUAAAACCGAGUUUUGUAUGCGGAAGCGUAAAUCAAAAUGGUUUUGCACAAUUCGAAACCUAAAUCAACUAGUCUCAAGUAAGUGCACAAAGAAGCUAGCCUAUGUUGAGGUUUGCAAGCCUAGGGUGAUAAUAGCACAAAGUAUGUAAACUUGCUCAAAGUAAAUUUGCACAAAAAAAGGAGACAAGAGACAAGGAAUUUUCACCGAGGUUCGGAAACUCGCCGGUUUCCUAAUCCCCGUUGAGGCGAGCCCAACUCCACCGCUCAACCACGAAACCACCGCACGCCCCCUUCGUCAAGGGGUGGGCAAGGCGGGAGCCGGCCCACGGAGAGAACUACCAAAGCCUCGAUCACUAGGGUAGUUCUUCCUUCACUCCGAAGGUGGUGAACUCCAAACCACUCACAACCGGCGCCGGGCCUCCUCCACAAUCUUCUCGGAGAGGUCACCGGGCAACACCUCUACAAGCCGUCUAAGAGGCGGCAACCUCUAAGAGUAACAAGUCUAGGAUGCUUGCCGAGGAUGAUCAAGUGCCACACUAGCUAUAACAAUGAAGCAAUGCACUUGGAUUGGCUUAACUCACUCUCUAACACCUUACUAGAUAAACUAAGUGCACAAGGGUGUGAGAGCUCUUGCAAGGGUUCAAGAUAAUGCAAUGGAGUGCCAAAACCUUGCCCUUGCUGCUGGAGAGUGGGUAUAUAUACCCCUAACCACCAAAACUAGCCGUUGGAGUCGAAAUCCCCAACUCUGUGCUCUGCCGGUCAGACCGGACUACUUUGUAACGGACUACUCAACCUGGUCGGUCUGACCGCAAUGAAGCGGCCGGUCAGACCGUCCACGGCUCGGUCAGACCGCCAUCGGCUCGGUCUGACCAGUUGCGGCUCUGGCGGCUCUGUAUCGCCACCAAAAACCAGACCAGUGCAACAGACCAAUAGGGCCGGUCAGACCGGCCUUACCACGCCGGUCAGACCGGCUAACAGCCCUGGUCAGACCGACCUAAGGCCCACGGUCAGACCGCAGGUCACUUUUCAGCACAACCAACCGUCAGUAAAACGACGAUAUCUUUUGACUCGGAUCUCGGAAUUUGGCGUUCUCGGACUCUAUGGAAAGCUUAUUCAAAGGGCUAUCCAACCCAUGAACAAUCAAUCCAAGAAACACAACUUUUCUCAGGGAGAAAUGGCUCACACUCCAAAGGAUACUCCACCGGACAUAACCACAUGAGGCUACUCAAACCUAUAGGAUGUGCCCACUUCUCUCUUUGUUUGGGACUUGAUAAAACUCACCACACUUGGCUAGACAAGCCCACAAAAUGCACCUAUAUGCAUAUGAACUAAUAUGGCACAAAAUCAUCUACAUGCUCGCUUCAUAGACCCCUCUUGAUAGUACGGCACCUAUCUAGUAAAUCCGGUCUACACCAAACACCAAGACCGGGAAAAAGACUAAGAAAACAUUCUUAGCUCCAUUAUACCUUAGCCUUGCGCCAUCCAACUUGGGGUCAAUGCUUGAGCCAACAUCAACACUUGUGACCAUUCGGUUGAACCAUGUUUAUGCCGAGGUCUUUGCCAUCCUUUGUCAAGACUUUAUUCUCAUCACAAGCUUGACUUUAUUCUUGCCAACAUGACGAUGUCCUUGGCUUGGUGACCAUUAACCCAUGGUGUCAUUCAUUAGCCUCAUCGCAAUUAGAUCUAUUCCUUUGCACGGUUCAAAGGAAAACAUUAGUCCCAACAAAUCGGUUGGCAUCCUCCACUUGGUGACCAACCGGUUGCAUAUGAAAGAUAUGGAUAUGUUUGUUGAGUAUUCAUUAACAUCAUAAGUGUCAUAUACUUGUAUGCAAGCUCAAGUGCAAAGAUCCGAUAUAUAUAAUAGGUGAACAACAUGGAUCUAAAACAUGCACAAUAAAUAUAUAGGAUUUGCUCCCCCUAAGUAUAUGCAUACAAAGAAAUAUACAAGAGAGACAAGUGUAUGCAUAAGUAAAGAAGAACCAAUGGGGGUUUAUCCUAUAUACAUAGAGAAGGCAUAUGUAGUAAUGAUGAAGAUAAACAAAAAAACACAUACCUUCAUGAUCUCCAUGUUCUCAAUGUAAAGGAGACUAAAUAAGAUAAGACUCAAGUAAACAUUAGUCUCACACUUAUAUAACAAUAACAUGGAAAUCAUAUAUAUGAACCUAUCAAAAAGUAGGAGAUAAGAAGUGAUACAUAUCGCUUUAUCUCCAUGAAUUUCAUCCUUGUCAUGAUUAAGGUCCAUCACCAAAGAAUGCAUAUCUACCACAUCUCAUUAUCGGGAAAUAACCUUGUUGAAAACUUAUGUAAAAGAGAGGUUAAUCCCAUAAACAUUUGUUUAUCAUCUAUCACCAAAGUAACAAUUACACAAAUUGUUUAAUCCAAGAUCUUUCAAUCUUUUCUCUCUUUUGUGAUAGAUAAUAAUCCGAUAUAAACAAUACAAAGAGAUGAUAUGAAAGAUAAUUUCAAAUCAAGGUAGAGAUCUUAUAAUGAACAAAAUAUAGAAUAAGCUCCCCUCAAGAUGUGCAUACAUAUGGAUAUGAAGGAAUGCAUAUGCACAUAAUCAAUCAAUAUCAAUGAGGGAGCUCACACUAUAUUUUGGAUCCACAAGAGAUACCAAGUUAGAAUAUGUGAAGUUUAAUACAUACCUCCCAUCAUUUUUACUUUCAUAUCCAAAUAAGACUAGUCAAAGAAAGGCUCAUAAAAACGUUAGUCUCAUAUAAUUAGAUUUGUCAUUAAUCACCAAAACCAAAUUAAGGCACUUAAACUUACAUAGGGUCGAUCCAUUUAUCUACUAAAACUAUCCGUAAAUUUGUCCUAAUGGAUUUUUUUGUCGCUCCAAAAAUAUAAAUGGAUCAAACCAUUAGAACCUAGGUUUAAGGGGUUCAACCCAAAAUAACUUUACAUGUAUAAAAUGAUUCAAAAAAUUGUACAAAGUUGCUUCUCUAUAUAAUAAUCCAUUCCUACAAAAUUCAACUAAAUUUACCAAGUUUUCAUAGUGUGAACGUGAGUUUAAAAAUUUUUGGUCCGAGUUUUACACACAUUAAAACUAGAAUUUUUGGGUCUUAGUAAUCAAUCGUGGGCCCCGCAUGUCUAAAUGGCUUAAAAUUUGAACAAAGUUGCUUCUCUAUAUAAUAAAUCAUUCCUACAAAAUUCAACUAAAUUUGAUAAGUUUUUUUAAAUGUGAAUGCGAGUUUAAAAUUUUUGGGUCCGAGUUUUACACACAUAUAAUGAAAUUUCCUUAGUAUUUUAGUAGUGCAUUGUGGGCCCCAUGUGUAUAACGGGCUCAAAAUUUACACAAAGUUGCUUCUCUGUGCAAUAAAUUAUCCCACCAAAAUUCGACUGAAAUCGAUAAGUUUUUAUAGUAUGAACACGAGUUUAAAAAUUUUGGGUCCGAGUUUUACAUAUACUAGAUGAAACCCCGCGCGUUGCUGCGGGAAAUUAAGGAUAAUACAGAUAUGUAGCAAGCAAGAUCAAGAACACAAUCACUGUAGUGUUUUCCAUAUGGUAUUUUGUCAAUUCAUGCAAAGAAUGUGCCAAUGUAUGUAUAAUGAACAAAUUUGAGCGAGCACUGACUGGAUCAAUGCGGUAGAGGAAUGAGCGGAUAAAAUUUCCUAACUAAUUAAAACACCAUGGGAUCAUCCAAGAUGCCUCAAGGAUGUAUUUGCACUGACAAUAAGUAAAUGCAUGUGCAUCCAGUUUAUCAAAGUUAAAGCCUACAAAAAACUUUUAAUAUCUUUUUAAGAUAAUAGCAAAUCAAAUGGAUUCAUGACAGGUUCUAUAACAGAACUUGGGCAAAACGUAAAUCAAAUAGCAAUCAGAAGAAUGGAAUGUAUCAGGACAUAUAUAAUGCCCAUGUUAACCUGAUUAUAAGCAUAAGCUAAAAUAUAUGCAUGAUGAGAACUUUUGUAACAACGUCAUCAGAUAUCUGUAGUCUCAUGAUCUAAACUUGUUUAAAUCCUGUGUAACAUAAAUUUGAACGAAAUAAUAACAAAAAAAACAUAGCCACUAUUCUAUACUAACUCGUAAUUGGAGUAAACACAAAUUCUGGAGUAAAAAGAGAGGCAAACUCAUAUCCAGGUCAGCACGAACAGGGCAGCUGCAACAAUACAGCGACCAAGCAGCAAACAACACAGGACGAAUGCAAAAGCUAAAAAUUAUUACAUAAAUGCUGAAAUUUUUUGGUAUACAUACCUCAGUUUUUAGAAGCCACAUCCAAUACGCUUGAAUGACUCCUAGCAGAGUUCAUAAAUUAACUCAAUUUUCAACAUUGUCAUGUGGAUGAAUGGGAACUAAAUGGAUUUCUUGACACUGUCAUCAAAUUGAAAGUGAAUAAAGUAUAGCGUGUAGUGUUAAAAAUAAAGCAAUAGCCCUGUAAAAAAUUUAGUCAAAGAGGAACUGAAAGAGGCUUAAGAGGGAAAUAAAUGGAAUUAAUCGCCGGUGAUGGACGGCUCAUUGUUGGUGAGUAAAUGCUUUUGCUCCUAGAGGGAGAUGAUCGGUAGCUCAACAGCCGAUUAGGAGAAGGGGAACAGAUCAAUUCUGGCUACUGAAAUCUGAAGGAGAUCAGCAUGGAGAGCGCAUAUCUGACUGCAGUAUUGUUUCCAAAUCGGUACUUUUGUGACUGACUGACAUAGUUCCUAUAUAUGUUGGCGUGAAGCUUGGAAGAAAACAUCAGUAAUAGAAAUAAAGAAAUACUAAAAAACAGAAGGCAUCAAUAUUCUUUUCUCCAAAUCUAUCAAAUUUAUGAACUAUUUUCUCCAAAUCUAUCAAAUUUAUGAACUAUUUUCUCCAAAUCUAUCAAAUUUAUGAACUAUUUCGUUUGGAUUUAAUUUGGAUACUGACGAACGCAUAUAUUAAAACCUUCAAAGAUCACAGCAAAACAAAUGCCAUCGCAAGAGGCAAAGACGUGAUUUUGACAUAUAUGCAUACCUUCAAUUUGCUAUCUCAAAGAAGUUAUGUAAACCAUUCAGUUGGGAAUUGUGAAUUGCUUAAGGAAUUUAUCUCUGCAAGAUAAAUACUCCCUCUGUUUUACAAUUUAAGUCAUUCUAGCAUUUCCCACAUUCAUAUUGAUGCUAAUAAAUCUAGACAUAUAUAUUUAUCUAGAUUCAUUAACAUCAAUAUGAAUGUGGAAAAUGUUAGAAUGACUUACAUUGUGAAACGGAGGAAGUAGGAAUUAACCAAAUGAUUAUAAUCCUCACCAUAUAUGUAAGAACGAAGAAACAACUCACAGAAUUGUAUACUGAUAAUUUCUAAUCUCAUAUGCUGGAGCAAAAAGGUAAUGUAAAAUUAGCGGGACCUAGAAUGGUAGUAUUAGUUAGGCUUGUAAUAUAUUUUAGAAAACGAUUAAAGAACUGGAACCAUGGGGCGGUUGAGCUCGAGAACCAUGUGGGAUAGCGACGACGGCCUUGACGCCGGCCUGGAGGAGGCGCUUGGUGAGGUUCCCCGUGCCGGGCCGAUCUCGAGGACGGUGUCGGUGGGCUUGAGGCCGGCCUUCUCAACGAUGGAGUCCACCAGCGACGGGUUCCGCAGGACCCCUUGGACUUGUCGAACGGGAUCCCUCCCUGCAGCCGUGCGCCAUCACCCCCGCCUCCUCCUCCUCCUCCUCCUCCUCCUCCUCCUCCUCCGCCGCCGCCGCCGUGCCGCUUCUUCUGGAUCUUCCCGCCCGCCAUGGCGAUGGGCUCGCACGUCCAGCCGCCGCCGCUGGAAGAAUUGGGAGAGGCCGGAGGCAGCUCCGCGGCAUGGCUGGCGCGUGGGGGAUGGGGGAAGGCGGGAGGCAGUGCGACGCGGGGAGGAGAAGCGAGUGCGCCGGCUGGCGGGACAGCGGCGCAGCUGGCGCGCGCGCGCGAGGGAGAAGGAGAAGCGAGGUGGGCCCGCGGCGCAUCUCUCUCGCACGCGCAUGGGGGCAGAGGAGAAGCGAGCGCAGCGGCAGCGGGGGAGGGGAAGGAGCGCUUCAUGGCGCAUCUCUCUCUCGCGCGCUCGGGUGCAGAGCAGAAGCGAGCGCGGGCCCGCGCCGCAGCUCGCGCGGCGCUGUGCGGGACGGAGAAGGAGCGCGGGGCAGGAGAAGUGAGUGCGACCGCAUCUGGCGGCGGCAUCGGUAGGGCGGAUGGGAACUAAAUGGAUUUCUUGACACUGUCAUCAAAUUGAAAGUGAAUAAAGUAUAGUGUGUAGUGUUAAAAAUAAAGCAAUAGCCCUGUAAAAAUUUUAGUCAAAGAGGAACUGAAAGAGGCUUAAGAGGGAAAUAAAUGGAAUUAAUCGCCGGUGAUGGACGGCUCAUUGUUGGUGAGUAAAUGUGUCAGGGUUAUGGAUACCACAUACCUAAUAGUAGUUGACUAAAUCUCGGCAGGACCCACCACAUACCAUGUCCUAUACGGAAACAACCUGCGGAUAUAGGAGGAGUUCCGGAUAAGGAAAGACAACCAGAGUUUUAUAUGGAAACGACAAGGACUACUCGGAUUGUAUCUAUAUUGGUUUUCCUAGUUCUACUUAGACAAGGGGACACUUAUGGGUAUAAAUACAAGGCCCCCUAGGAGGAGAGGGGAUACAGACAACAUAGACGCCACAAAGCCACGAGCCAAUACAAGCCAACAUACGUCAAGAUAAGACGUCAGAUAUCGACAUCAGAGAUAUGCCUAGAUCGACCCUAUCCGGUAACUACAGAGGCCAGCCGUAGGGAUCUAGUGCUGUCUUUGAUCUCGCCGGGCAUGAACUCGAGGAGGAAGACUACCCUGUUGUCGACUACGAGUCAAACCUUCAGACCGCCAUGUCGACAACAGUUAGAUAGGCUAUCCCAAAUAUUGUACUGGUGUGAUUAUGGUGAAUAAGAGCAAUACCGGCUUUGGCCAACAGGAUGUAGGGUUAUUGCCUGACAAUUCAGGGGCCCGAACCUAUAUAAAAAUCCCUGUGUCCGUCUCUUUUACCUCAGUCCCGCGUAUAUCCUAGUACCAACGAUCCCCAUACUAUGCAAAUACCGGAAUCGUGACAUCAAACGUCGACAGUGGCGCACCAGGUAGGGAGAUUUUGGUGCUUCUGGAUUUUGACGAGAUGGGUUUAAGAUAUGGAUUCUCCAAGCUACUCGACGACUUCGGCUGUGGAGAUCUAACCCGACCAGAGUACAUGCUCCGAUGAGAUCGGAACUAUCGUCGUCAUCGACAACUUGGUCUAUCGAGAUCAUCCAAGCCUCAAGCUUCGCAGCGUACCAAAAGAUGUUAGAUCGUAUGAUGUCGAACGAGUGCGCAACAAGGUAAUUGGUAGAUUGGUUUUUUAAAUUAAUCUACUAAUUUCAUAGAUACAUCCGACAUGUAUUUACAAAGGUACGCAAUAUUUUAUAUGCAAUUUACCGUACCUAUUUUCAGAUAUUUUCAAUCAAUAAUUUAUUAUGUUUAUCUAGAGCAUGUUUUUUAUACAAUAUCUGUCGUGCGAGUGUUCCCGAUGUUAGGCCGACUACAGUCUAACGCUGGGAGCUCGCCCUAUUUUCUUCCGUAUAAAUCAUGCUUGUUUACGGUUUACAUAAUGCCUGAUAUUUACAUCUGCUCGCUAUAUCCUGAUAAUACUAGAAGAUCCAUACAGUUUUUCAAAUACAUACUCGAUAUUCUCUGCUAUAUGUCUUACCUUCUAGAAAAUAUUUUUCAGGAACCAUUGAGCACUCGAGUAGGUUGUGGUCAAGUACACCGUAUUGUCGAGAACGAUCUCGACAAAUGCAGAGUCGUCGCACCUAACCUACCAACGAAGACCGAUGACCUAUCUCAUAGCACCGGCCAUGGCUGGACUACUCGAGAAAAGGUUGUUAACGGAUAACUCCUCGCGAACGCCGUCGGCUUGAUCACCCGACAUGAUUGCGAACGGACAUCUGGAUAUGCUAUAAGUUGGGUGCGUGAGUCAUGCUGGCUACAUGAGAUGCACAUGUAAUAAACCAACUCUAGCACUUCAAUUGGUGUCCGAGAGAUAACUCUACACGUUCACUGGUCCUCGAACCAGUACGUAGCAAUCUCUCGCACCGCAACUUCCAUUGGUGUUCGAGAGAUAAUUCUACUCGUUCGCUGGUUUCCGAACCAGUACGUAGCAAUCUCUCGCACCGCAAACUUCCAUUGGUGUUUGAGAGAUAAUUCUACUCGCUCGCUGGUUCUCAAACCAGUAUGUAGCAAUCUCUCGCACCGCAACUUCCAUUGGUGUCCAAGAGAUAAUUCUACUCGCUCGCUGGUUUUCGAACCAGUACGUAGCAAUCUCUCGCACCGCAACCUCCACUGGUGUUCGAGAGAUGAUUCUACUCGCUCGCUGGUUCUCGAACCAGUACGUAGCAAUCUCCUGCACCGCAACAUCCAUUGGUGUUCGAGAGAUAAUUCUACUCGUUCACUGGUCCUCGAACCAGUACGUAGCAAUCUCUCGCACCGCAACCUCAGAUGGUCGAGGUACGACUGCAGCAAUAACGCAGCGGUCCUUGUACUACGACUUCAAAUGAUCGAGAGACACCUACUCACUGGUCCUCAACCAGUCAAUUGUAGCGAUCUCUCGUACAUUUACUUCUAGUGGUUGAGUUACGACUACUACCUGGUUCUUGACCAGAGGUGUAGCGAUUCUCCUAUUACCUCUACUUCAACAAAGUUGAUAUCAGGUACACAAUAUCGCCAAGUGUUUUACCUAGAGAUCCCUUACCACAAAAGAUACCUAGCGUUGAAACCUAUCCUAAUGUCCCUUUAUGCCGUCUUGACAAGGCCUCUGAGGAACCUAAGGGAACUUCGGCUGGGGACGCCCAGAGCAGAUAAGGCCUUGUCGGAUCCUUCAGAGACGAAAGACCAUGUAAGAUCUGGUCGUGUAAGAGUUCUCGCCGUGCGUAUUAACCAAGUCGUGUAAUCGGAAAUGGAUUUUCCAACUUCACGGCUGGGGGCUAGGAUUAGUGCUUGUUUAACCGAGGCAUGUCAAAGGUCCAAGAGCCUUAUCUUCCGAGAAUGAUUCUCCGACGACAAGGCUGGGGGCUAGGGAGAGUGUAUAACUCAACAAACUGACUGAUCGAAGUCAGUAAAAGAGUAGAUGCUCAUAUACAAAACAUUGGUCUGUAUGUUUAAUUCAUUUUCAGUUUUCCAUACAUUCUAUAACAUGUUACCCUUUGAGCGUUCGCUCGGGGGCUAUUUCUAUCUAAUAUUCUUUUCUGACUAUUGAUUUCAGGAAAAUUCUAUUCGACAUUAUCGAAGGUUCCAUGUCUCUAUGGUUCUACACCAAGUUCGACUAAGGCGAGUACGACAAAUGUUGACAAGGCUCCGUCGCAGACUCUGCGCCUUCUCGAUUACUCGAGAACGGUUGGUGGAUAUCGACAAGGAAUGCGGAAUGAAGAGAUGGUGUACCCGCCGAGAUAAAAUUUCUUGACUUCAAUCCAAAUUCUCGAUUACAGCAAGACGGAAGACUUAGUCGUAUGCUCUGUACUUUCUUGGUUGACGUCGGAGAUUAACUCAGACAAACCCUUUAGGUGCCCGCACGAGGCUGAUAAAGGGAGUCUAACGUUAUCUCUGAUAAAGGAGCGCGGGGGCAGGAGAAGGGAGCGCGACCGCAUCUGGCGGCGGCAUCGGUAGGGCGGAUGGCGAUAAAAGAGAAGUGGGCUGGGAUUGAAGCGUUACCAAGAGUCCAGAUUAGAUUCAAUGGCUGAGAUUUACAGGUGACGUGGCUCAACCACAAUUCAGCUUUAGGUCUUAACUAUAUAGAAAGAAGGGAUGUGAUAAGAGUUUUUUUUUCUACUAGUAAUGUAGCCGAUCCAUUUGGAUAUCUAUGGAUAACCUAGUGAUAUAAUGGACUCAUGAUGGAUUGACCCUAUUAAACCAUGGAUCAACAAACUCACUUAAAACUGUUUGGUUCAAUCCAUAUCCUAACCAUUCCCAUCCUGAGUCAAAACAGGUUUUAACUAAAUACCACUAUGCAGUUCGGAUUCGCUGAAAUACCAUUCUCAAUUGAGGGGCUUCGCCGAAACACCAUUUUCUUCCAAUUCUCUCUUUCCUCUCAUCUUUGUUGACCAAAAUGCCCCUAAUUGAAUUAAUUCAAGUAAAACAAAUAUGUAGAUUACAGAGUAUAUAUCACCUAAAUAUCUUGACAUGCAAUAUAUAUAUAUAUAUAUAUAUAUAUAUAUAUAUAUAUAUUCUUUUCUUUACACUAAAUUAUAGAGUAUAAGACACUAUCUUUACAUCAUAAAUAAAAAUAAUUUUUAUAUCAUUGAAAACAUUGUGAGUUUUUGAGAUAGUACGUUGCAUACUAUGUAAUCUGGUGUAGAGAAAAAAAAAAUAACAUGUAAAACUAUUUUUGGCGUAUUUACUUUAUAAUCUACGUAUUUUUAUAUACUUAUAUUGAUUCAACUAGGAGCAUUUUGGUUAAUAAUGAUGAGAGUAAAGAGAUAAUUGGAAGAAAAUGGUAUAUGGGCAGAGCCCCUUAAUUGAGAAUGGUAUUUCGGUCAAUCCCAGCUGUAUAGUGGUAUUUGGGCGAAUACCUUUUUACGAUGGUAAAAUGUCAAUUUUCUCGCGCUGGAGCGUGGCCGUGCCCAGGCGAAAGUCCUAAUGAGCGAUUGAUCGCUGGCGGCGAUCGUUUUUUUAUUUUCCUCUUUUAUUAAGUUUAUACGCCUAAAGUUUACACAUCUAAAGUUUAUCCAUCUAAAGUUUGUACAGCGAAUGUUUAUAAGUCAAAAGUUUAUAUACCCAAUUCAAAUUUGAAUUUGAAUUCAAAUAUUUUUUUUAUAUAUAGUAUUUCUAUACAUCUAAAGUUUAUACACCUAAAGUUUAUAGACACAAAGUUUAUAAGUCAAAAGUUUAUGUACCCGAUUCAAAUUUGAAUUUGAAUUCAAAUAUUUUAUAUAUAUAGUAUUUCUAUACAUCUAAAGUUGAUACACCUAAAGUUUAUAGACCCAAAGUUUAUAAGUCAAAAGUUUACAUACCCGAUUCAAAUUUGAAUUUGAAUUCAAAUAUUAGUUUAUAGACCCAAAGUUUAUAAGUCAAAAGUUUACAUACCCAUUUUAAAUUUGAAUUUGAAUUAAAAUUUUUUUAUAUAUUUCUAUACAUAAUUUUUUCCAACUUUGUUUUUUAUAUAUUUUUUAGAGUAAAUUUCACAAAACUACAUGUUUUGUGGUUCAAGUUGUAGAAAACCACACACAUUUUGACACUUGGUACUUAAAGUACAUAUAUUUUGGUUAUGUAGUUUCACAAAACUACACUAUCGAUGUAUAGAUUCACCCGCGAGAUGAUGUGGCUGUUUCACCUAGGACGAGGACAUGACAUUCUAUUAUCAGCCAUCGCACGAAAUUAAUAUGAUACCACGUCCUCAGACUAGAUGAAACAACCACAUAAUAUCACGGGUGAAACUAUUCAUCGAUAGUGUGGUUUUGUAAAACUAAACUACCAAAAUAUAUGUACUUAAGUGCCAAGUGUUAAUAUAUGUGUGAUUUUCUAUAACUUAAACCAUAAAAUAUUUAGUUUUGUGAAAUUUCCUCUUUUUUUUAAUUUAUGGUCUAGUAGGAAGAGAAGACGCGGGGGGAUGGGGAUAAGCGUUCAUUAGCCGCGUCCCCGUGCCCAGGCGCAGGUGAACGCGAGCGGGGGGCGAGCGUAGCGGCACGCCGUUUUCGGCGGCGCUGCUCAACCAGAAAAAGCGGCGCAGGAGGGAGAGGAUACGGCGGUCGUGCGAGAAGCCCCGUGCAUCGGAUAUUCCGAUGCGGCGACGGUUUCCGCUUGGGAGUCGGACUCGCGCUUCGCGCCGGCCAUAAGUACGGGAUCGCUGAAUCCCUUGGAUCGUUACCUCAUUCCAAUCUGUUGCGCGCACGAUGCCACCGUUGCGCCAAGGACGAGCACGCGCCGCCGCCGCCGCCCGUCCCUCGCCGUACCGCGGAGGCUGGCUGUCACGGCGAUGCCGGAGUAGCGGGGCCGACACGGCGGAGUACGACGCCAACGGGACGUCUCUCACGGACGACGCGCUCGCGGCCACUUUCACCCGGCUGCCGAACGCGGCCGACGUAGUCCGCUGCGCCGCGACGUGCAGGCGGUGGGCCAGCGUGGUGGCCAAGGAGGCCAACGCUCUGUCACGAGCGCUUCCGCUUCUCCCCGGCCGGGCCCUCGGCUUUUUCCACAAGGAGCAGGACGCCGCCGCCGUGGCCACCACGCGCAAGCGGAAACGCCGGGCCAUCAUCGUCGACUACUCGACGCCCCCGUGCUUCGUCCCGACGGCGUUCGGCUCUCGCCUCCUCGGCUACAACCUCCCCUCCGCCAGCGCGCUGCCGUUAGGCGUCCAGACCGACGCCCUUGGCCUCCUGGAUCUAUCACUCUCACGCCCAGUGGCCUCCCGCAACGGACGCCUCGUUCUCGAGCUCCAGAGCGAGGAGCAUGUCAACGACGGCAAGCUCAACCUGUGCGUCUGCAACCCCAUGACGGGGGACGUGGCCGUGCUGCCGCCUCUGUCUGGCAAAGACAGGCCCAGGAUGUACGCAUGCACAUUGCUCACCGACGCCGACAUCGACCAACCGCCGCCGUCCGCCAACUUCUUCCGCGUGCUCAUCGUCUACAACCGUGACAGGUUUACCGCGUUCCGUUCCUACUCAUCAGACACCGGCAGCUGGAGCAUGGAGGCGAAGAAGACGCCAGGCCCCAAGCUCACAAACUGGGACCUUGGCAAGCUAGGCCACGGCAUCGUGCUCCACGCCGUCGCCUACUGGCCGCUGCGAAGAACGACACUAGCAGUCUAGCAGUACGCCUCGAGUCCUCGACACGCCGCAGCCGACACAGGUGCGCAUGCCGCUAGACGGCAUUAUCAGCACGAUUCAGCAGUUUCGUCUGCUUGGUGUCACACCUGAACGGAAGCUGUGCUUCAUCGACGCAGCGAAUUCCUCAGGAUAUGUCGGUUUGGCAUCAAUGGUCUUUGAGACCACCGGAGAUGACAUGUGUGGUGGUGCCGGAGAAUGGGUGAGGAAAGGUGGCAUCGGACAAUUGCGCCGCCAGUUCAAGAUUAAGAGUGCGGAUGCCAGUAAACUGCGGUGGUUCUGCGAGAAGAGUUGCACCCUCUUGUUCACCCUCGGCAAAGGAAGCAGUCCCUGGACCUUUGCGCUUAACCUCGGAACAAAGAAAAUCGAGAAGUUGACUACCGGUGUCGACUGCAAUUGGUGGAGAAACUUUGUGGGAUAUGAGAUGGAUGCUGCAGCUUACCUCAUGUCCAUAGCAAGACGCUGAUCAUUCCCUUUCAUGCUUUGGCACGGUUCUGAAAAUGUGAGCACAAGCGAAUGAGUGAUCUACUGAUCUAGUUGUGGCAUUUGUGGGCGCAUUACUCUGGCUGUGUUUAGUUCCAUGCCAAAAUUGAAAGUUUGAAGAGAUUAGAACGAUGCGAUGGAAAAGUUAAAAAUUUGUGUGUAGGAAAGUUUGAUGUGACGGAAAAGUUAAAAGUUUGAAUAAAAAGGUUGGAAUCUAAACAGGGCCUCUGUCCAUUUUUCUUACAAAUUAUGGUUCCCUUAAAAUUAGGGAUUUACGGUUGGCCUCCAUCUCUCUAACGGUGUGAUAAGGGAUGCACUUGAGCCAUUAUGUGCAUAAUAAUAAUAAUAAUAAUAAUAAUAAUAAUAAUAAUAAUAAUAAUAAUAAUAAUAAUAAUAAUAAUAAUAAUGAAAAAUUAGCCAGUUGGAAGCCAAAAUUGAUAUGUCAUGUUGGGCGUUUUUUUUUUCACAAACUAAAUUGAUAGCGUCCGUGAGUCAAAUGUGGAGAUCUUGAAGGGACAAUUCGAGUGAUUUGUUGUGAUGAAUGCUAAAAGCCCGAGCAACAUAUGUAUGACCACUUUAGCAAGAUAGUCAAUGACAUCAAGAGCCUUAGAUCAAAUUCAAUAUUUCUUUAAAUAAUUUUAUACCACUUUAGCCUAUCAAAUUCAACUACCAAUCUCAGCAAAAUAUCCCAGUGCAAUGCGUGGGGUUUCAUCUAGUUUACUCUAAUGUUUCAUCCAAACAAAAAAAAAAGUCGAUUUAAGUCGUGACCAAAGAAAAUAUCUAGUGGUGUACUAGCGUAAAGCCCUCGCAAUCCCCUCCCCGUCUAUCCAUGCUCUAUCCCCUCCCCGUCUAUCCAUGCUCCCGCUCCACUUGCGCCCCACACACAACCACACUCCUUGUCUUCUAAUUGUUAGGCCAAUUGUCAAUAGCCUAUAAACAACCUAUAAGUACUAAGGUCGAUCAGAUUGCUUUUCUUACAAGGACGACGCUAACAAUAACAUCCUAUAUAAUAGGAGUAUGGAUAAUUCAACAUAAAUAGAAAAAAGUUCCAGAUAUACAUAUACUGCAUAAUAAAAAUAGUUUAAUGAAAAACUAAUCCUAUCUAUCUAGAAAUUUAAACAAAAUAGACACAAUAAAAAUAGUCUAUCCUAUACUUUCUCCGUUUCAAAAUAAAAUCGAACAAACUUCAUAUGGUACUCCGAGUUUUUUCAACAUUGUAGUACAUCUACAUCGAACAAACGUAAGCCCCCUGGGUGUACGCCAACGUAAGCUUACUGUUGUACCGACGGUGAACGUGAAUCCAGCCCAUCAAUCCGGUAUUCCGGGCCCUUCGUGUUCGCAUAUUCACGGUUUACACGCCCCCAUCCUCACGUGGGGAUCCCCCCGCGCAUCACCAUGGACCACACUUCAUACGCACGCAGCCACGCACCCCGGCACCACACCACGACUAGAAACCGAGGCCACCACGACUAAAAAACCGAGGUCUCGGGGCGCUUUCCAAUCCAACAGGCGCGGCCUCCUCCAGUCAAUUCCUCCCUGACCCUCCUCCGGCCGCCUCCGCCUCCGCCUCCGCUCCCGCCUGCUGCUCCGGCCUCCGCACCAAACCCUAGCCCUGGGCCAUCCCCUGCCCGCCGCGAGAUGCGCCGCCGCCCUCUGGCCCCCUGAUCCUCACCCUCCUCCUCCUCCUCCUCCUCCUCCUCUCUCUCCUCCUUCGCCGCCGCUCGUCGUUGCCCGGGCGUAUGGGCCGCCACGGCAUGUCCCGCGGCGCCGCGGCCGGAGACGGCGGGGGAUGCCUGCCGAUGCCUGUUAUCUCGGCGGAGGUCGCGCUCGCUGUCAUCGACGCUUCCAUUUCAGUCGCCGCCUUCGUGCAGGUGCGUGUGUGGGGGCAAUUCGAUCUGGUUAUCUCGUGGUGGUGCUCUGUCCGCGACUGAUGGCGGGGGCAGGGAGUGGGGAGACGGGCAUGUCAUGCGCGUUGGCGGUAGUGUGCUAGCGGGACGGGGAAUGGGGGAGUGCCAGAUUUUGGAAUGAUAAUUUUGCUCUUUACGAGAAUUAGAUAUCAGUCAGCCACAUAAAUUGUCAUGUGCUAUUCACCUAGGGAUUCCUGCAAGGUUAUUGCACUCUGGUAUUGCUAUAAUGUUACUAUUUGGUGAUGUUUUGGUCACAGUGGAACGAUGUUUUGGUCAUAGUGGAGCAAUGUGUAGCAUAGUUAUGUAGUGCACUUAUAUUACUCGGUGAAUUAUGUAGUAGUUGUCAUUACUCAUUACCAAUGAGCUCUGUUGCAAAUUGACCUAAAUCCUUUACUUAAUCUGAUCUCUUAAAUCCGUUUACUCGGUAUUAAGCACUUCCAAUUUUGCAGCUAGCAAGAAUCCACAGGCAUGAUCAGCAGCAUGGAUGGACUCGGCAAAAGGUAUGCACAAUUCCUAUUUGUGCUAUUUUUCAUGUUGUCCAACUGUCUGAUAUGUUGUUUUGCAAUGAGUUCAUAUGCUUGCACUAAAUAAUAUCUCUAUUGUUAUCAUGGAUAAAUACUUAAUUGGCUGAUGCUCUAGCUAUGUGGUUAGGUCCAUAUGUUUUUAUCUCUGGUUGGAAGCUUUUGCUUACCUCUAUAUCUAGUGGCUAGUCACUUACAUUGACAGUUUGGAGGCUAAAAAAUAACCAGGCGCAAAACCUCCUUAUCCUGUUUUUUUUUUUUUUUUUUUUUUUUUUUUUUUUUUUUGGAUAUCUCAAGCUUCAUACUAGGCUUCCUCAUCUACUCUAUAAUACUUUUCUUAUAGUUAAUACGGGAGUAGAUUGUCUUCAUCCUUCAGUUAUCUUUCUACACUUUAGUAAUUUAGAUUACUAAUGGUACUAUUUGUGGCAUACCACUUUAUAUCAUGUUCAGUAUGCAUUUAUUUAGUUUGUCUGAUUCCAAGGUUCGGAUGAAUUGCAAUAUAGUCUUUGUUUAUAUAAUUAUAUUUACAAAUGUUAACCCCCAAAAGUUAUUUCAUUUAUGCAUACCUUUAAUGAUGUGUAAUCAUGUGACCUUCUCAUGAAUGAAACAUAACUAUAGAUUAUCAAAACAACAAUGUGUUUUAUAGUCUAUCUAUUUGACAGAAGUAGCAAGUUUCCUUGGUAUGGGACAUUUUACUUCAAUACGUGGGCUGUAGGGUUUUCGAAUGAGAGCUCAAGAGUAGGAUAUUAAAUAAUGCUAAUUAGUGCCUCACUUUUUUUUUCCCUCUGUGCUGUGAGCUCAGCUGCCAGAUUUUUAAUGUUAUAUGCCUACGUUCUUGCAGAUAUUCCAUUUUAUGAUUGGCCUAUGCAACUUAGGUGAGAUCUGUAUUGCUAUGAUAAUACCUUUUUCCCUUUAUUUUGCUUGAGGUUUCUUUAUUAUUUUUUGUGCACUGGAAAUUUCUGCAUAAUGUAGUCAGUAGUUAAUGACUGUCUUAAUUGUUCUGAAUGGUUCCUGCUAUCCAUGUUUUAAACUUUUAACUAAUGGCAAUUGGAAAAUGUUACAAUUCAAGUUUUUGAGCGAGCUUCCUCUUUUAUGAUGCUGGAAUGCAACCACUAUGACAUUGAGGAACCAUGUGCACAAGGAAUAGUUGAACUAUUUAUAUUCUGGUUUUGAAGCUUUGAUUAAGAAAUAGAAAAUAGAUCUCAUUUUUGUUUGCAAUUUUUCUAUUACGGACAUGCUAGUUCUCUCCUUAAAUAGGUCCAAUUUACACCAAAUGACAUGACUGCUGAUCACUUGUCUUAAUUUGUGCACAAUUAAUGAAUCAAAUAUACUGAUGUUUAACUUUAUAAGAAGAAAAAUGUUGUUACUUCACUAACAGCUUCUCAGGUUGACUAGUUUCUAAAUAAAGUAUUUGUAUUAUCUCUACUAGUGAAUCAGGUCAAUCAUGUGUACUUUCAUUAUCCAUUCCUUUGACAGUAUUCCUUGCAUAUUUUAUGAUUACCAACAUUUUACUAACUCUGAUUUUUAUUUUCCCAAUCCUAUGGCAGUAUUCCUUGUGUAUUUCGUGUCUACCAUCAUCGCUACCUGUGAGAGAUGGCUUUGUUGGGUCCAUGGAUGUGGAUUUGUACUCAUGGGUAUAUUUUACUGGAUAUAUAGCUUUGCUGUUGUCCUUUUGUUUUUUUCCCUGCUUAUCUACAUGACCUUUUAUUGUAUGCUAUUUUUCUGACCAGACCUAAUAGUUGUGCAUUCUCAAUAUUUUGCAGCUAGUCCACAGAUAUUGCUUCUUGCUUCUUUUCUGUUGCUGUUGUCAUUCUGGUGAGUCGGCACUUGUUUCUUACAAUGCAUUUCUCAUGUAGCUUUGCUAAUAAUUUUGAGAGUAAUAAAGAUUUGUUUGGAAUUCCCGUUCUUGUUUACUAUGUCUCUGUUUCAUAUAUCCACUUGAAAGAAUUGUCACUUGACGAACAUAUCCAGUUUUUUUAUUGGACUACACCAAUUCUUAUUUCUUAGUUAUCUAAUCUAGACCAAGUAAAUAUCCUCUACAACUACAGCAUAGGCUAUGUCAAUAUGUCAUGCAUGAUGACCAGUCAAACCAUCUGAGCAUAAAAGGAAAACAACAUUCCUAAUUGAUGCUUGAUUAGAAAACUGAUGGAUCUUCUCAUUAUAAUUUCUUUGGACUUCAAUAAUUUUAAAUCAUCUUACUGACUUACUGUCUGGGUAACCCUGUUAAGAUUGACCUCUUAUAAUCAAUACAAGAUGGCCACAUGACACUAUUAGUCUAUUACUCGUUAGCAUAUAAUCUCUGAUACAUGCCGCAUUACUCACCUCUUUUUCGUGGUUAUGGACAUUAUCCAGUUGAUUGGAUGACCAUAUGACGACCACGAUUGAUUGGUAUGAUCACCAUAUGAUUUAUUAUUGAUGGCGAUCUAUGCUUGCAAUCUCAGUGUGAUAAGAGAAUGUUCUUUUGCUCAAAGUGGUAUUAUGCGAAAAGGCUUCUCCAUGUAUGGACUUAUUGGAGAUAAGCCCUACCCCUCAAUGAGGUUUGGGUUUUACACUUUUCCUUUUACUUUUGCUCACUUCACCAUGGUGAUAGGGUACAUGGAAGGUGAUCACGUAACCCACAUAUUGCUCCCCAGUCUGAGUUAGGGUCUUUCUAUGCCAACAAGCAUCCAAUGGGGCCUAAUAACAGUCUUCCAAAUCAUGAAGGGGCAAGGGAAGAGUGUUUUUCAUUACUGUAGAAGACUUUGUUUCCCUUUCUUCAUACACCUGGUUUGUGCACUCCUUGUCGUUGUAUAGGCAAAAGACAUACUAGUACUGCCUUUAGCUCAGUUCUAAGCUGUAACAUGUCUUGUAGCACUUGCCACAACGGUUGCACUUGAGGUAUCUAACCACAAAUCGUUGGUGGGGUGCAUCAGAAAUAGUAAGGUCUCAUCUUGAGGACCAAACCUGUAUAAGUUCAGUGUUAUGCAUUGGUUUACCACGCGACGUUUGAGAGGAUUGCAUUAGAGAUGUUAGGGUGAAACAAAAAGGGGGAAGAUGAUGGUCAUGAUUUAACGAUUUCUAUGAGAUAACAUAUGCCAUGAACCUUGUAUUGUCAAUUUUUUGCUUUCUCAUGAAUCAUGUUAUUAUUAUGCAUAUGUUUUUCUGCCUUCUUUUUCCUUUUCAUAGUUGCUUUUUUCACUCUAUAUUUCUCUAAAAUAAUGGUCUUACAGGGUUGACCUGUGUCACCAGACAAACGAUGAAGAUGAAGAGGAUACGAGGAGUCACCAUGAGGCUUUACUGGAUAGAACAAAAAAUAAACCUGGCAUCCGUGCUGUUGAUGUUCGCCGGAGGUGUUGCCCAGGAGUACAGCUUGGAAGCCGGCAAAAAUUUGUGAUUUUGGUAAUCUUUUUAGUUGGCAUAUUCCUUGCUCAUGCACAUAAUACACAUUCCUUUAUGACACUUUCUUUUAUUUAGACUGUACUGCUUGAGAAUGAUUUGUUUGAUUAACUUUAAUCAUGUAGUGCACCUACCAUCAUAUAGUAUUUGUGAAAAUAGAACUAACAACUGACCUAAUAUUUAUUUCCCAUACAGGUGCUUCUACUGUCAUUUGUUGUUACAAUCGCCUUCGCCAUCCUCAUCUGGAUUGGUAGAGGAGAAAAUCCUAUUGAUUCAUCUCUAUUGAAAAGGGUAUGAUGGAUUAGAAAUUCUUUAUGUUUUUAUGUGCUGCAUUUCCUAUGAUAUAUCAACUUAUUUUUUAUCAAUAUAAUAGCAUUGAUGUGUUGCAAGUGCUGGAAGACAGCCUUUGUAUUACUAUAAACUCAAAUAAACAACUACGGUGAAGAAAUAGAAUGAAGAAAUACUAGAUGUUUAUCUUACAUGGAUGGAAUCUGAUACUUGUCUUCCAAGUUCCAACACUGAUGUGUUGUGGUUUGCACAAAUCUGUCAUUAUUGUGGACUAAGUUUUGUAGGCACAGAGUAAACAAUCCUAUUCAGGCCAAUGCAUUCUAAACCUAUGCACAGCAAGGUUAGGUAGGUAGACACAACAAUGUGAAAUUCAUCAGAUCAAACAUGAAUUUUUGUUAGAGAUGGUCCAGUAGAGUAACAAAAUCCUAUGUGUUCUAUUUGUGAUAAGUUUGAUGCUAUAAGUACAAUUGUCUCCAUUAUGACUUGUAUCUUACUUGUUCUUCACACACUUUUUAUUCAUGUUUUCACAUUAGUUUACUUGAUAAAUUUACAAGCUCACCAAUUUCAUCAAUAGUUAUUUAAUCACCUAUUGUGUUGUGACUUGAUUGUUUAGCCAAAUAUUUUAUUUUGUAGGUUUACUUGGAUGUAUUCUCAGUAGUUGUUCUUGUACUUGGUGGUGCGCUGGCAUGUUAUGGUAAGCAUAGCCUAUGUAUACUCAUCUAUACCAUACCAUAAUUAUGUCGCAAUAUUAGGCAUGAUGUUUUCUAGUCAAUUGUUUCAACCUAAGAUAAACUCUUAUUAUCUUGUUUCUAAUCCCUCGCAGUAGAUUAAAUAUUGAAUGAGUCUCACAGUCCUAUUUCACUUUAUAUCUAGUUUCACAUCCGCCUUACUAAAUAAUUUGACCUUCAUCUGCUACCAGUAAUCCUCUCAUUCAACAUGUUCUUGACUUGCCCUUUUCUUUUAUUUUUUAUGAUCAUUUAAAGGUGCAAUACUAUUUUCAAAGAUGAGCAAAGUGCGUUCUGAAACUGGAUCAUCUGAGAAGCGGAAGGUAUAACUCUUGCAGAAUCAUUCAAUUUGUGGAUUGCAUCUCUCUACUGCUUUAUCAUUUGCUGCAUGUAUUGUAUUUUGUAAAAUCAUGAGAAAGCAAACUAAUAAUGAUCGUAUACAAUAUUAAAUUAAUUGAAUAAAUGGUCAUAUAUUCAAAAGAUACAACUUUUGGUUUCAGUUCUGAUAAAUUCUAUACUUUAAGAUAUCAUUCCAAUAUGGUCAUAGUGCUUAUAAAACCAGAUGACAAAAAACAGGAUGCCCCUAUAUGCGUACUCCUGCUUCAAUAAUCUGUAUGAGCCCAGCUCUUCUGAGAAGUGAGCCCAUGUAUAAAGAGCACCUCACUUACACUUUUGUCCCCUUUUGUGUAAAAGGGUCAACUCAGAAGUGUUAUGAUUGCAAUGUACGGGUUUAUAUGCUGGCCCCAACUUAUGUAAACUCUCGAUGUGGGACUAGUUGCACUAACACCACACCAUGGGCCAAGCGGGGCUCUACUAUUGGCUGGAUACUGGAGUAUUUCAUAUAUAGUAGCAUAAAUUAUGAAAAAUAGUAUGUGUUUUUACGAGGACCAUUCAGUCUAUCCGAAUUUCUUCAAUCUUCAAGGAUAUAUUAUUUCGGAUCUGUAAUUCUCUAUAUCAAUGCUUGCUUCUCUGCAGGUUGCAAGUUUAGCUACUGUGUCACUGAUUUGUUUCUCGUCGUCCGCUAUACUAGCACUUGUUACCAAUGUUCCAGUAAGUCUGAUUUAUACAAUAAUAGCUGAGUAGCUGACAUAUCCACUAGCUGGUUCUUGAAUUGCUAAAUAUCAAUUUGCUAUACUUCUUGUUGCAGGUGCUUGUGUAUUGGUACUCAGCAGAUGAAUACAUCAUCAACAAUGCUAUCAUAUUGUUUAUGUACUAUUUCAUAGGUAUCUCUCCACCAUCUAUGGCUAGAAAUAACUCCUCUUAAAUUGAACGAUAACAUUUUAUUAAAUGUAGUUCAUGUUGCAAUGGGAAAAUAUGGUAGGAUGUGGUGUGCCAUCAGGCUUAUUAUGUGCACAUGCUUCGAAGCCUGAUGGUGAAUGCAUGUGAGCAUGCUCCAACAUGGAACCAUAUGUGGGAAUUAAUACAAUAAGUUAGUGAAAUGAGUAAGUGUGGUGGUAGGUGUGGAUAAAUUAUUUAUCCAACCUUUCAUUUCUCAUACCCCCAGGGUGAAGCUAGUCUAGAUCUAAUGAUUCUAUGUGUAGUACCAGAUUGAAAUACUCAAACUCUGCUAGUUGAUAUAUUGCAAUCAUGUCAGAACUUACAUUUCUUUUUGUUCUUAUAUUUAUGAUAUCCACUUUGAAGUUGGAUUCUUAGUUCUCCUUACCUGAUACUUAGUGAAUGUUGUGCAACUCAACUGUAGGGAGCAACACCAUCAAACUAGUGAAUGAUUUUAGAAAAAUAAUUAGUUGCAUGGUGUAUUUACGGCACACAUUGAACUGCAACAGUGGAAUUGCCUAGUCACAAAAAUUAACUCUUUACUAGGCAUCCAAUCAAUCAAAAUAAUUCUGGAAUCAGAAUGCAUGUUGUAUAAUAGUUUUUUCUGUUGAUAUUUUCUCAUGUUUAUUGCGAACAUAAUAUUCCAUUCUCAAGAAAGCACUUGGCAAGCCUCUUUUUUUUUUAGAGAGAGAGAUGGCACAACCACUUGUUAAUUUUACUUCGGAUACUCUUGCAGGAUCAUCCAUACCGUCAGGAUUUGUUCUAUGGGUCAUGAAAGAUAUUCCUCAUCGGCAGACAGUAGAAAGGCCCACACAAUCAAGAGUUGUUAUUUUGUUCAGGGAUAGACCAUCCCCUACACAGGAUCCACAAUGGAGGACUGCCGUUACAUCCUCUAACAAGGUACUUGCAGUAUUACGUUAUUCAAUUAAAAUUCAUAGGUUUCUACCUCUACAUACUUCUAAUAAACUGACUUUACUAAUCUAUCGAUGUAUAGGCCCUCAAGUCAAGCCCUAUUUAACCAGAAGACAAACCGUUGAUGUGGAAACUUCAGUCUGUUUAAUCUGCUAGAAUUUUACCAAUGCGUCAUUUGUGCACUGGCAUCUAGUAGCUUUCUGACAGGUUGUUGGUACAAAGAUGGAUAUGUAAUUCCUACUUCAAGGAAACUUUAGUGAUCAGAAAAGAAGGGAAUUACCUGUGAAUGUAGCAUGGUUCUCCAAUGAGUGCACAGUAUGCGUUUAUCCAUUAGAAUUAACUCUGGGUAAGGCUUUAAGGAUUAACAAAUGUAAAUAGCCAUAGAAAUGAGAGUUUUUCAUGGUUUGGCUGGCUGUUCAUUCAGAUUUUCCCCACCGUCACAUUAGCUUCCUCAACUCAUUUUAGUUAAUAGAACUGGCAAAGUAAGGUUUCAGCUUGUCUAUGAGGAGAUUUUGCCUUGAGAAGAUCUCUCCAUGUUGAUACUCUGUCUCGUUCUUAUCAUGCAUAAAAUGUUUCAAGGGCGUUCUGAUCCUAGCAGCUGGCAUGGCACGCUAUGCUGACUUCAACCUGUCAGCUUGCUACAUCAUUCAGUUGCUAAACAAAGUCGAUCGGUUGUUAGUUACUGCUCCACUUGAGAGCAAACUGCCAUUAUCAUCGGAAAGAUAUGCACGACUAAAUAAUCAAUAGUUGCUCGUGCUAUAGCAGUUUUAGCCGAGUUUAGAGCGCAAUUUUAGGCGGUGCGGUGCGGUGCGUUAGCGGCUUCGCACCUGCAAAUCGCGGUGGAAAGACGCAGCCAAAUCCAUCGGGAGGAACCUAAAAUCGAGGAUUUCAAGGGCAUUUUGUAGUGGCGCAGAUCGGCAGGAGCUUUGGACAACGUAUGCAAUUGGUACAGUCGGCAAACCCAACCCACAUGACUACAUGAGUAGUACAUGAUACCCCGGCACUUAAAACUCUUUUGAUCUUGGAGGUUGGCCCAAAAAUGGAUUAGAGAUGGGAUACCGGGAUAAUCUAAACAAAGAAGAAUAGUGUAGGCUAACUGUUUAGGUAAUCAUAAUAUCAUAUUCUUUUGCAGAUGGAUCAAAUUUCAUGAGAUAGGGUGUGAUUUGCUCAAAAGAUUAGUAUGCGUGGCUUCAGAACACAGUUUCUGGAUGAUCUCUCGUGGUGUGGGUAACUGGGUACAACCAACCACUAUCUCGUUUUGGAUUAGAGGACCACUACAUGAUCGUUAUAAACAAAUCUGAAGGAAUAAUUGCAUACAAUGUCUAGUGUAGAUUGGACGACGGUCCUAAUCAAGCUGCACAUAAAAAUUGUGCUGGUGAAAUGUUUCUUAUGGUCAACAAGACGGCUUGACGUCCUUAGAAUCUUUGAAAUGCAAUUUUAGUUAGGUACCCUGUUUAGGAAAUAUGCUGGCUCAUACUACCUCCGUUUUUUUUAAUAGAUGACGCCGUUGACCUUUUCUCACAUGUUUAACCAUUCGUCUUAUUUAAUUUUUUUUGCAAAUGUAUAAGAUAUAAAUCACACUUAAAGUACUAUGAGUGAUAAAAUAACUCAUAACAAAAUAAAUUAUAAUUACGUAAAUUUUUUGAAUAAGACGAAUGGUCAAACAUGUAACAUGUGAGAAAAAAUCAACGGAGUCAUCUAUUAAAAACGGAGAUAGUAAUACAUUUACAGUGGCUCAAACAUUUUUUUUUUAAAAAAGUACAAGAUGCACCUUGAAAAUCACAUUCGCUACUAUCCAUCACUAACAUUUUUCCUAACAUAUUCCCUCGAAUAUAAGAUACUAACAGUAAUUAAAUUAUAAUCCACUAACUACUCAUUCCACAACUGCACAAGGAUCACUCAUCCUCUUGUGUCUAAAAAUAGCACAAGCUCCCAUGCAUGUCCAUUCCAUCUCCAAAAGUAACCACCACAAAAACCCAUGAGCUCAUCUCACUCUACCACUUGUCUACUCCGCAGCCCAAUAACCACCAUUGUUUUCUCAUCUCGACAUGCUAACAGCCUAAUACUGCUAUUAUUCGUCUCGCUUCCCAUAUAACCACAGGUAUAACCGCCACGAGAGAGCUCUCUCCCACUUCUUCCUUCCUGCGCGCCUCUCCAAACCACCAUGGGAGCGGGCACCACCACCACAACCACCACAGAGCUAACCGCGGCGCGCCACCCCGCCGCCAACGUCGUCUCCGGCGGCUCAUCGGGCUGCCUGCCGUCCUCGUGGCCUUCUCUGUCCGGCGCCGGCGGCACGGGCAGGCGGCGCGGCUCCGCCGUGGUCCGGAGCCUGCAGCUCGUGGUGCGCGACGUCAGCCCCGCCGCGGGGUGGUGCGGCCACCGCGCGUGGCGGCGGCUGCUCCGGCGCCUGGCGCAGGAGACGAGGUGCAUCUGCAGCUCGUCGUCCCCGUCGGGCGCCGCCUCCUCCAGGCCCAUCACGUUCGGCUACGACGCCGCCAGCUACGCCAAGAACUUCGACGACGGCCGCCGCCCCGCCGCGCACUACGCCGCGCUCGCGCCCGCGCCCGCCGCCGGCGCCGCCAAUGCCGCCGCCCAUGAGCCGGCCGGCCGCUGACUCGAUCGCCUUCAAUGCCUGUUUGAUCUCGACCGGGUCUUGUGGUUGCUGAAUGCUGAGCGAUGUGCAUUCCUUUUUCUUCACCUUCUUCUUCUUUUUUUCCUUUUCUCUCUCUUUUAUUUUUGUUCUCUUCUCUCUUGCACUCCAUUGUCGAUGAUAUUGGUUGUUGCAGCAGUGACUUGACCAAUAGUCGGUACGUAAUUUUGUAAUCUGUACAUAGCAAGGAGAUAACAUAAGUGGAAUUUAGCCGAAUUUGCAUGAUUCACAUUUUUCAUGUUGUGAUUUAUCUGCGUGGCACCAAUGUGAUUCUUCUCGUCUUUUGAUAGGUCUCGAUCUGAGCUUAAAUAAGCCACUUGUUCUCCCUAUGCCUAUUAUCUUGUGAAAAAAAAAUACUCCAUUUGCGAUUGGAAUUGGAUUGUAAGAUAGACGAAUUUGACUGUUCUCGGUUCAUGGAUGAAUAAUUAUGAAUGACAGGUAGAGAUUUCAUUAUUGUUAUUCAGAUCAACAAGGCGUUAAGUGUUAGCAUUUGCCAUACAAAUAAUGAUAGCCAGAAAAGAAGGGAAAGAGAUCAGCUUUACUCAGGGAAAGAGAUCGUGCAAUGAUGUACUAUCGACGAACAAAAUGAGAGGCAAAAGAGGAAGGAGGACACUGACCAUUAGUAGGAGCAGCUUAAUCAGUAGUCAUGAUCCUGCAUUCCAGGCCAUUAUCUUUUAGACUAAACCACGGUACGCUGCUGCAUUUCUUAUCAGCUAUUAGUCCCUUAUUACAACUCAAUUGCCAAAUAAAGCGUUCUGGAUCAUUGGGUUUGUGUAUAGUUAAUGACCAGUACAGCCUGCAUUAGCUAUUUAGCUUUGUCCACGAGACAGGAACAUUGCUUCCUGCAAGAGCAAGGCCAUUCGGUACGUACACAUGUACCAAAGAUUGGGCUCCAUACCAAAAGCAAAGCAAAGUCUAUGCUAUGCACAACAACACAAACACAAGGCCCCGUUGCCAGAAAAGGCAGCAGCUUCCCUUGGGUGCUAGCUGCAGCCUGCAGGUUUCUGCUGCGCAUGCGAAGCUCACUGAAUUUUGUCACCUCCUAAUUACCAUCUGCAGCGUCAGAAAUCAGAAUCACCUUCUGAGUUUCUGACAAAGGAAAGAAGGCCACAAUGAGACGGAUCGGAUUUAUUAGAACUGAACUCACAUAGAAAUCGGUCUCGCGGUAAAAUAUUGUAGUAGUCUUGAUCAAUUGUUUUCUACUACCAGUAGCGACCACUGUAAAAGUUAUUUAUUAGCAUCGGGGUAUCCCUGAUUCCCUACUACUGCAUACUGAUAGAGAGUGCAUACGAGAGAGCUAGCAUUCCGUCGCCAUUGUCAGUCUGUCAUGUGGUUUCUGCAGUCUGCGGGGACGCAUGAAUCAUCAAUGGGAAGCAAACAACAUGCUUCCAUAUAAUUGAGGUCACUCGAUCGCUCAACUCAAGGCAUAGGCACUGCUCAACAAUGCGUUGUCAAGGAGGAGGCUGUAAAUUUUUGUGGUCCAAAGUGACCUCUUCACUGUCACCUCAAUAUAAAGAGCUGGUCGCCGUCAGAGGAUGCAUCCGCUGAACCUGAAUAAUGGAUGCUCACCGACGACUGCACUGCUGGACCGUUACCAAAAUGUGCAUCAGUAGAUGUCAUCAGAAGUACUACAAUCUAGCGACGAUGGCGAAGAGAAACUGUACAGCAAAUCGACCAGCUUACUAGAGGCUCGUCUCCAGCGUACAGAAGAGAUAGGCCCAAAACUAUUUUGGGCUGUUCCCGUACCGUACUGAGCUUAAAAGGGCGCGGCCGCUACAGUGUUCGGAGAUUUGGCCCUACGUAGAGCUUGGACGAUCGUUCUUAAUUACUUCUUCUUAGCCUUCGAAUUUCCACAUUUCCUCCCAUUUUUUUUUAUCUUGGUUUUGUUUGUCUCUUUCAAGGCAUUACUAAGUAUAAGAUGAAUAUUUAUUUUUCUCUGCAUCUUCAACUACGACUCCGUGGCCCAAUGGAUAAGGCGCUGGUCUACGGAACCAGAGAUUCUGGGUUCGAUCCCCAGCGGAGUCGUUUUGUUAUUUCAAUAUUAACCAUUUUAACCCUCGAUAUAAGCCUUAAUCGUUCUUUUGGUCGAGAUUCCGGUGGCGUUUUCAUUAUUUUGUCAUGAUGGAAAUGGAAAAGCUUCAGAACCACUCCCUACAAUUUUGGUGGCCUUCUUCAUCAUCUGCCAUGCUACAUUUCAUUCUGGAAAAAGCUUCAGAGCUGCACCCAACGAACAUCAGCUAAGCGAACCAUCGAAAGAUCAUGACAUGGAUGCUAAUUUGCCAUGCUACAUUCAUUCUGGAAAAGCUUCACAGUUGCACCCUACGAACAUCAGCCAAGUGCACCAUCAAAAGAUCAUAAUCAUAAACAUGGAUGCUAAUCGGUAUCCAGACAUACUAGUAUCCCUUAUAUCCCUUGUAACAAUUUAGAGUCUUGAAAACCUCUGACAGAAGAUGGAACAUGAAAAAUAUCAAUGUAUUUAUCAGCACAUGUCCGUUUAUUAUAUUUUACUGUAUAAUAGUUCACAGUCACAACCAUGAUGAAACAUAUCAAGUUAAUAGAGGCAGAAACUGAUUAGAAAGAGUAUUUCUAACGCCAGUUGAAACAGCGAUCUCAGCAGUUUCUACUACUUUGCAGGGGGUGACGGUGCAGUUGCUGUGUAGAGGGACUUCAACUGCCUGUAUAUAAGCUUGCUGUCAUACACUGCUAGCUGCAGCUCCAUGCCAUCCGACCACCAUUGCUCCAGCCCAUGCGCUUCAAGAAACUUCUGUGGGCCUUUCGAUGUCACAAAAAGCUUCGCGACCACAUCACCAGCGAUCUCACUUGCCUUUCGUUGCUGCUGCUGCUCAUCUGAAGCACCAUCAGUGGUGGUAGUGGUGGUGGUGGUGGAGCAAUUAGGGGCAUUGUAGUGACAGCAGAUGUAGUCACUGUUGUUUACAUAUAAAUGUGGCACCCAUUUCUUGUCAGCACGCAAUUUCUUCUUUGCACUUCCCUCCUCUUUGGUACUGUCAGGUAAUGCUUCUUCAGUCAGUGGUAGACUAGCCUUAACUUUUUUCCACAGGUAGCUGGCCUUCUCACUCAUACUCCUUACACCCAUGGCAAGUGAAACAGAAGGUGGAUUGAACAGAUGACACUCCACGAAGACUCCUUGCUUAGCGAGCUCUUUGCAAACCUGAAGAGCAAAUCCAGCUCCCAAGGAGUGCCCAGCAACACUGACAUUAGCGCUACCAAACCUCUCAACUGCUGUCUUCAGUGCUUCUAAAGCGCCAAUAUAUCUGACUGAUCCUUUUAAGCUCUCCCACACCAGGAAGCGAAGAUCAUCUUGUAGGUCUCUCUUGAUGGUGGGCUUCUGAAGCAGUGUUCCUCGGAGAGCUAACACAGCCCUUGGCGCGCCACUUGGUCUUAUGAGGAUAAGGUCAGACAAAGCAGAAGAACGAUCCCACUCAAGGACGGCACCAUAGAUGGAACCAUCUCUCUCAUCGACCAAUGUCUGUGUGACCUUGUAUUUGAAGGGCUUCCACCAUUUUGGAGCAAGGCCAUCCUCUUCUCCUUUCUCAUCUUGCCUGUCCAGUUCAAGCAGGUAGACUGCUUGAAUGAAGCAGGCCAUUACCAUCCUUUUGUAAUUGGGAUCCUUCCUGCAAUCAAUUUAAAGCAACAUUGAUGGCAUUAGAACUAAAGGUAGCAGAUACAAAUUAACAAGUGUGAUACACUGAAGUAAACCUGGUUACGCAUACAAAGCAUAUACUGCAUUACCAGAAGUUCUUGUAUGUAUGAGGUCAAAUCGAAAUAUAUUUGAUGUCAUAACUAACUGACAAACUUUGACAAAAGAAACCAAAUAGCUCAUAUUAUUAUUAUUUCUUUUUUUUUUGGUAUGGUAAUGCACCUCCUGUCCGCUAAAAUUAUCAGAUUUGCAUGUUCCAUUUUCACCAAAAGUCGUGAAAAGCUUUCAUCCGCUUAUGAAAUUACGUUAUUAAUAGGAAUACUGGUGUAUGCUUGCCACAGAUUGGAAUUUACUAAGACCUGACAUCCUAAGCACUUAUAAUGUUCAGAACGAAACGUGCAAUUCUGUGAAUAUUUCUUUUUCGGAAUACCAAUUCUGUGACCCAUUCCCGCCCAUGCUUUAGAGACUACGUCCAAGUACUAUAGCACGAAGCAAGGGAACUGUAGUGAUAACUCUAGUUCAACCAGUAGAGUUUGUACCGUCCAAUUGAAAUGGUAUAGCCUAAAAACUAGAGCAAUAGAGUGUAGAACUGUAUAAUUGAUUAUUAUUGAAGGUCAUAAAAACAAGGGGCGAGAAUUAGAAAGGCACCUCUUCAACAAAAGUAAGUCCAUACAUAUCCCAUAGGAAAGUACCACCCACAGGACCUUGGUUUCAAUCACUGAUUAUCUGCUACUUCACUUUCUUGUUUAAGAAGAAUACUCAAUCCGUAAGAAAAGGUAGGUGCAUUUCCAUACCCAUGCCUCACGAAACAGUGUAUGGAAGGAAGGGCAAAACUCUGGGUAUGGUAGUCUGUAACCUGACUUGUAGGUUAUUACUUGUAGGCGCGCAAGCGCAACACUAACCAACUAAACACAAAGCUGACACGCCGAAUCGCAGGAUCAUCAGAAAAGACAUUGAAAAAAAGUUUAAAUGUUGUGCAGACAUUUGUGAGGUGAUCGAUUGGAGAUUUUAAUCUUAAUGCAUGCUAUACCCUUGCGCCAGUGCAGAUUGCAACAAAAUCCUGAAAAUAGCAGUAAAUUCGGUUCCUUGUUUACAAUCCAACAAAGCUAUCGCCUUUCAUCUAGCAUAUUCCCUCCCCUUCCAAUCCUGGGAGCCGGGUGCAACCGGACGGCAAUCCCCUCCCUAAAACAUAGUCCCUUUUCCGAUCAAUCAGAAGAGGCAACAAACCAAGGGUGCCCGCGGCGUAAACGAUCCCCACAGAUUCACGCCCAUGACGACCAUAUCUGAUAUCUCCAUAACGCCAAAAUGCAUAUAUCAAACUAAUUAACUAAGAUUUCGCAAGGAAACAUGGAGAGAGUAACCGGAAACCAACCAGCUCGAACGGAUGAUCUCCCUCCAGUUGGGCGGCGGCAGGUUCCGCGGCCCGGACACGUGGAAGUCGUAGGGGUGGCCCUCCACCUCCGCGUCCGCCGCGGCCACCACCACGGCCUCCCCGCCGCACACCCCGCCCUCCUCCCCCUCCCCCUCCUCUUUCUUCCCUCCAACCGCCGCCCCCGCGACCUCCAACUCCCCAGCCAGCGGCGCCAGGUCGAUCGCCAUGGCCCGCGCGUGCGCGAGGGGAACGGGAGCGGCGUGCGCGCGUGCGCGGAGCGGGCGAGGCGGCAACGGUCGAAUCGGCGCGACAGAAUGUUGUGGGGACGGAGGAGGGGGAGGAGGAUUUGGCAGCACGCGAACGC
rnacentral:lncRNA from 1 species